GGGCCCGCACAAGCAGUGGAGUAUGUGGUUUAAUUCGAAGCAACGCGAAGAACCUUACCAGGGCUUGACAUAUACAGUAAUACAUGGGAAACCAUGUAGCCUAUUCGUAGGACUGUAAACAGGUGGUGCAUGGUUGUCGUCAGCUCGUGUCGUGAGAUGUUGGGUUAAGUCCCGCAACGAGCGCAACCCCUAUUAUUAGUUACCAGCACGUAAAGGUGGGGACUCUAAUGAGACUGCCGGUGAGAAAUCGGAGGAAGGUGGGGACGACGUCAAAUCAUCAUGCCCUAUAUGUCCUGGGCAACACACGUACUACAAUGGUCGUGACAGAAAGAAACGAAACAAGUGAUGUGGAGUAAAACUAAGAAAAGCGACCCCAGUUCAGAUUGAAGGCUGAAACUCGCCUUCAUGAAGACGGAAUUGCUAGUAAUGGCAGGUCAGCAUACUG
rnacentral:rRNA from 1 species